GCCGCUGUGGCUCAAUGGUAGAGCGUUGCUUUCCUAAGGCAAAGGCUGUGGGUUCGAUCCCCACCAGUGGUU